CUUGCAGGUAGAGAUACGCUGUAUACCCAUGUAACCGAGUUGACGUUUAAGUGUUAUGUGAUAGCACCGGUCGUGGGGAACCGCCGGGAGGCGGCUUUUUUUGU
rnacentral:sRNA from 2 species